GUUUCUGUUUCUGAACUAUUAUGGAUGGAAUUGUGUCCCUGAAAAAUUCCUAGGUCAGCGUCCUAAUCCUCCAGCACCUCGGAAUGUGACCUUAUUUGGGAAUCAAGUUAAAAUGAGAUCAUGAGGAAGGGCCUGAAUCCAGUAUGACCCGUGUCAUUAUAAGAAGGAGAAAUUUUGAGAUGGACACACACGUAGGACAACAUCAUGGGAAGAUGAAGGCAGAGAUUGGGGCAAUACUUCUAUUAGGUUGUUGGAGAAGUUAUCACAGUUUUUCUUUUGAAAGUAAUGGCAGACAUCACAAUUAUUUUCAUUACUUUUGCACCAACUUAAUAUAGCUAAGGAAUGCAAAAGAUUGCCAGCAAAUGACCAGAAGCGAGAGGGGAGGCAUGGAACAGAUCUUCUCUCACAGCCUCAGAAGGAACCAGCCCUAGUGACACCUCGAUCUUGGACUUCUAGACUCCAGACUGGAAAGAAGAUGGAACUGUUCAACCAGGCUCCUUCUCCCAAAAUGUAGAACUAGUUCAUGGAAAAAUACAAAAAGCGUGAGUUAAGGAAGGCGCCUUUUUAAGCAAAGGCAGACAGAUGGAGUGGCUGAUGUACAGACAGACUUUGGAUACAUCAAUUAACCAGAGCCAUUCAUUCUAGCAGCUCUAAGCCUUUGUCCUUGUGGAAAGUGGGACUGCUUUCUGAGGCUAAAGCAAAUAAAUUGGAUGGAUUAAUCCCUGAAUUGGAGGCCCAGGAAAUAAAGAAGUCAAUAAAGGAGAGCUUAGGGUACAUUACUAUUUAGUACCCCCUCACAAACUUUUUAAAAGCCAACUUGGAAUUUUGGUGAGUUAUUCACCCCUACUGCUCUUCUGCUUCUGAUAUCUUAAAAUUAAUAACAAACAAAAACAGAUAUAGAAGCUAAAAUAAUUUCACAUUAUUCAUGCAUGUAUUUAUUGCUGCCUUCACUUAUAAUUGCCACACACCUAUUGUGUUUCUGGCCCAGAUGGAAGAAACUGAAAUUAUACUUUAUGUGCUGUUUCAUUUUAACAUUCUCAAAAUCUCACUAAAAAUGGGAUCCGUUAGAAUAAUUCAAGAACAAAAAUAUCAGCAGAACCAAAGGAAGCUCAAAGAUGCUGCACCAAUGGAGUUAGCACACUCAAUUCAGUUCAAUUCAAUUUAUAAAAAUAAAGUUGGAAGGGUUCUUAAAUAACUUUAACCUUAAAUAACAACAUUCAGCUUUUAAUCCAGUUUGAGUGUUUGUCGAGGAAUCCUGCCAUAUAAACGUUUGACUCUGUAAUUGGUAGUUGGGAAGAUUAGAAAGAGAGUGAAUCUUGGGUACCUAUUUUCUGAAUUGGGUGAAUGAAUGAAAGAAUAACUGAAAGAAUAAAUAUUGUUGAUAAA